rnacentral:tRNA from 1 species
GACCGGUUAGCUCAGUUGGCUAGAGCGUGGUGCUAAUAACGCCAAGGUCGCGGGUUCCAUCCCCAUACCGGCCA